GAUGAAGAACGCAGCGAAAUGCGAUAAGUAAUGUGAAUUGCAGAAUUCAGUGAAUCAUCGAAUCUUUGAACGCACAUUGCGCCCGCCAGCAUUCUGGCGGGCAUGCCUGUUCGAGCGUCAUUUCAACCCUCGAGCCCCCCCGGGGGCCUCGGUGUUGGGGGACGGCACACCAGCCGCCCCCGAAAUGCAGUGGCGACCUCGCCGCAGCCUCCCCUGCGUAGUAGCACACACCUCGCACCGGAGCGCGGAGACGGUCACGCCGUAAAACGCCCAACUUCUUAGAGUUGACCUCGGAUCAGGUAGGAAUACCCGCUGAACUUAAGCAUAUCAAUAAGCGGAGGA
rnacentral:misc_RNA from 1 species